GGGCGUCAGCUGCUUGCGGAGCACCCUUGGGAUACACCCUUGCGAUAUUGGAAUUCUAACCUGCGGCCCUGAAUCGGUCGGGGGACAGUUGUUAGUGGGCAGUUUGACUGGGCGGUCGCCUCCAAAAGAGUAACGGAGGAGUGCAAAGGUACCCUCAGCCCGGUCGGCAAUCGGGCGUCGAGCGCAAUGGUAGAAGGGUGCUUGACUGCGAGACUCAUAAGUCGAGCAGAUACGAAAGUAGGUCAUAGUGAUCCGGUGGUACCGGAUGGAAGGGCCAUCGCUCAUCAGAUAAAAGGUACUCUGGGGAUAACAGGCUGAUCGCUACCGAGCGUCCACAGCGGCGUAGCGGUUUGGCACCUCGAUGUCGGCUCAUCACAUCCUGGGGGUGAAGAAGCUCCCAAGGGUUUGGCUGUUCGCCAAUGAAAGUGGUACGUGAGCUGGGUUCAGACCGUCGUGAGACAGGUCGGUCCCUAUCUGCUGCGGGCGCACGAAACUUGCGGAGGUUCUUCUUUAGUAC
rnacentral:rRNA from 1 species